AACUCAGUGGGCUCAUUCCUGGGCCUGGUUCAUCGUCUGAUUAUUUUAGGUGCCAUUUAAGAAGUAUAAUGAGAGAUGAAAAAUUGGAAAGGAAGAAACUGAGGCCCUGAGAGGUAAAGUGAAUGCUUUGACUGUAAGUUCUCCUUAAGCAGCAGAGGAACGGAGUACAC
rnacentral:lncRNA from 1 species